rnacentral:lncRNA from 1 species
AGGUUAUGAGCAGCCCAAGAGGAGGAACAAUGGUAGCUCCAGAAGUUCUAACAGGAAGAGGAAAGGGUCAGAGAUUUUAUUAAGAAAAGAAUUUUGGAGGAGUAAUCAGCGGAUUUGACUUGAAACAAUAGCUGCAGAAUAUGUUUAAUUUUGAAGAUCUACACUUUUAUUUCAGAGAAGUAUGGAGGGGCACAAUGAGUAAAUACAAAUGUUUGGUCCACUAUCUUGGAUCAGAAGGCUAGCCGAACAUCUUGGAUUCCACUGAGCUAAUUGACAUUGUAUAAUAAUGAAAAAAAUAAACAAAUUUCUCAAGACUCAAAAUAUCUAAGAAUGUAGGUCAAGAACAUUUAAGAGGGGGAAGAUGGGUGUAAAUAUCUGAGAACAUUCUGGGGAAAGGAGUUACAGUGAUGAACAAAGAAGACAUAUUUGAGAAGUGAAGAAUACAGACAAGAAUAAGAAAGAGCCUACUGCUGAGUUAAAACACCUCUUCAUAAUUACUUCCAAGGUACCCAAUCUCCUAUUCAAAACUGUGAUACUAUUUGUCCUUAAGGCUUGAUUAAAUUUUUAGUCAAUGUUUCUCAUCAUCCUGUUUCUGCCGAGGGUAAGGAAAAAUAUUUAUUAUUUUAUUGUUUCAAAUGCAUCAAUAUGUUGUGUUCCUCUAGUCAAAUAAUAGAAAGUGUUUAGUAACAGUACAAUAUUAUGCAAAGGUCUCUGGUUAAAGUAAGACCUUGGCUCAAAAAUGCUCACUAACUGCCCAAUACUGAGUAAAUCACUUCUUUUUCCUAAGUCUUAGUUUCCUCAUCAGUACAGGGAUGGUUAACAUAGGUUGAGUUUCUUUUCCAUAAUAUAAUUUAUUUUGAGUGCAAAAUUACAUACGUAAGUAGUUAAUAUGUAGCAGUUGUUUUAAAACUACUGUAUUUAAUUUUGGCUAAAAUCAGAAAUCAUUUGAGGUAAUCAUUAAUUUUUGCAAAUGAAGCUGCUAAAGCAC